UACGAGGGGUGCAAGCGUUGCUCGGAAUCAUUGGGCGUAAAGGGUAGGUAGGUGGUCUCAUUUGUCUGGGGUGAAAGCCUUGAGCUUAACUCAAGAAGUGCCCCGGAAACGGUGAGACUAGAGUACUGGAGAGGGUCGUGGAAUUCCCGGUGUAGCGGUGAAAUGCGUAGAGAUCUGGAGGAAUACCGGUGGCGAAGGCGGCCCCCUGGACAAAGACUGACGCUCAGGUGCGAAAGCGUGGGGAGCAAACAGG
rnacentral:rRNA from 1 species